rnacentral:lncRNA from 1 species
GGGGUUUCAUCGUGUUAGCCAGGAUGGUCUUGAUCUCCUGACCUCAUGAUCCACCCGCCUUGGCCUGCCAGAGUGCUGGAAUUACAGGCGUGAUUUAGUAGGUAGUUUUGAGUAGGGAGUAUACAUUUAAAAUGCUGAAACUCAGUUAAGGAAUAAUCUAAUACUGUAUUCAACUGAAACUCAGUUGAGAAAUUUCUUUCCAAUAAUAAAGGAAAAUCAACUGCAGUAAUGAGGGAGAUGAUUUUGCUGCUAAUUACAACAAAUAUUUACUACAGACCUGUUAUGCACCAGGAACUGUGCUAAAUGUUUUAUACAUAUAACUUUAUCUUGUGCUCCAACAACUUAUUACAUAGAAAUUGCUAUUAUUCCCAUUUUCUAGAUUAAUAAAUUGGUUUAGAGGGGUCGUAUAGGUGAAACAACUCACUCAAUAUCACAAGCUGUUAUGUGGUGAAGUUUGCAUGAUCAGUACAGGGUUCUGGUCAUCCCACUCAUUGAGUGGUGCUAGUCAAGAUCUGGAAGCUCUUCUGGUCUUAGUUUCUCUAGCCGUGAAGUGACAAUGAUUAGGUCUAAUCAUAGAACAUGAGAGUACAUGUGAAAAAAUGCCUUUUUAAAGAGUAUGAAAAACUUGAGUUGUAAAAUUUUCUUGUGGAUAAUUUAUUAUUGCUUUUCUUUUUUAGAUAACACUAACAAAGUUGACCUUAGAAUUGGAGUGCCUGGGUUAGAACCCUGCUGGUACCACCUGCUUACUGCAUGCUUCUGAUGUGAGUUCAGGAGAAGACACUGGCAAGGACAGCAAAGAACAGGAGAACACUCUAGCUUCCCUGAUAGCAUUCAAGGUGCUGUCCAAACAGAGCAAAGAUUGCAGAUAUGGGAGAGCAUGAGACAGACUGGAAGAACACUGUGUUUUGAGAUCAGCAUGAAAGCUGGUCUAGCAGGAAGUUAAGCAUCACUUUGGGAAGUGAUGGAAAAUAAUACUGAAGAAUAAUAUUCUCUUAUUGAAAGUUUUAAUUUUUCUUUCUUUCUUUUUUCUUUUCUUUUUUUUGAGACAGAGUUUCACUCUUAUUGCCCAGGCUGGAGUGGAAUGGCGCAAUCUUGGCUCACUGCAACCUCCGUCUUUCGGGUUCAAGCAAUUCUUCUGCCUCAGCCUCCCCAGUAGCUGGGACUACAGGCAUGCACCACCAUGCCUGGCUAAUUUUGUAUUUUUAGGAGAGACGGGGUUUCACCAUGUUGGUCAGGCUGGUCUUGAACUCCUGACCUCAGUUGAUCCACCGUCUUCAGCCUCCCAAAGUGCUGGGAAUACAGGCAUGAGCCACCAUGCCCAGCCUAAUUUUUCUUACAUGAGAUACGGUUUACCAAAGUCCACCUUCCACUUCUUCCUUCGUGUAUAUAUAGAGAUAGCAUUUCCUAGCUUCUCUUGCAAUUAAUUGUGGCCAUGAGCUUUGGGCAGUGGAAUGUGAAUGGAAGUGAUGUGGCCACUCCAUAUGUGUUUCUCUGUGUCCUUUCCCCUUCUAGCUGACUGUGAUGGCACCCUCCAGACAGACAGCGAUGCCACAUGUUCAAGAUGGCAGAAUCACUAUCAGCUUCAAUUCCUGAAUGACUGCAGAGCAAAAUUUCUUACCUGCAACAUACACUCUAUUUUCAGCCUCCCUGGACUGUUACAUAAUGAUACAUAAAAAUAUUUCUUGUGUUGAGGCAUCCCAAAUUUGAUUUAUUUGUCAUCACAGUCUAUCCUAUGAAUAUAUUUCUGAUCCAAAUAAUGCUAGAUUCAUGAGAGUUUAUAGUCCAGAGAUUUUUUUUUUUUUUUUGAGACAGAAUCUGUCUCCCAGGCUGGGGUGCAGUGGCAUAAUCUUAGCUCACUGCAACCUCUGCCUCCCGGGCUCAAGUGAUCCUCCCUCCUUAGCCUCCAUGAGUAGCUGGGACCACAGGUGUGCACCACCACACCCCGCUAAUUAUUUUGUAUUUUUUGCAGAGGGGGGUUUCACCACAUUGCCCAAGCUGGUCUCAAACUCCUAGACUUAAGGGAUCUGCCUGCCUUGGCCUCCCAAAAUGCUGAAAUUACACUUGUUAGCCAUAGUAAUAGUUCCUAGCCAUAGUCCGGAGAUAUUUUAAAAACUUUAGUGUGAGUUAUUUCUCUUUGCUAUAAUUCUCUCAUGCAUUUUGAAAACCUUUUCUGCCAUACAGUGGUUUUUGGGAAGUCCUUUUGGACAGACAUAUCACAGGAUGGAGAAACUAAAAAGAGAGAAUGCAUUAAAGAAAAAAUAGUACUUCGUAUUUCAGAAAUUACAAAAGGGUGUCAUGCCCCACAGCAUGGUGGGCAGUCAUUUGUAACCCACAGAACAUUGAGUUUCUAAAAUUUGAGUGUUUUUAACUUACGAAGGCCAACUUUACUGAUGAAGUGAUUACCCCAAAUAUGUGAAAUCCAUAUUUCAAGUACAAUAGUAGGAAAUUGGAAAUGGGUAGGUAUAUUUCUGACUGUCAAAGAGUACAAAGUAAAGAGGGGCCCCUGAAGAGUGACACUACUGGAAAAACAGAAGAAAAAAAAAACUGUUUCUUUUUUUAAAGAGCAGUCAACCUCAAACUUACUACUAAUGACUGUAUUUCAUUUCAGUCUACCCCAGUGGUUUUGUUUCUCAUAGACUGUAGAAUGUAAGCCUUUUUGGUCAUUCUGACAGAUUUUCCAGCACAAAGAAUAUCAGGGGAUUAACUGACAAAUCAUGGGUAUUUUUGGCAAGAUAGUAGAUUAACCCUGGAAAUUUUCUCCAUCUAUGAGAAAAAAAGACAUGUGCCACCUGAGGGUUACAAAGACUGUUGGUGGCUGACCUCAGGCUCCUGUCUUUUAUUUUAUUUUAUUUUUUUACCAUUUUACCUCUGCCCUGUUUUUUUAAAUUAUUAUUAUUUUACUUUAAGUUCUGGGAUACAUGUGCAGAACUGCGGGUUUGUUACAUGUGCCAUGGUGGUUUGCUGCACCUAUCAACCCGUCAUCUAGGUUUUAAGUCCCACAUGCAUUAGGUAUUUGUCGUAAUGCUCUCCCUCCCCUUGGGCCCCACCCCUCAACGCGCCCCACCCCUCAACAGGCCCCAGGGUGUGAUGUUCCUCUCUGUGUGUCCUUGUGUUCUCACUGUUCAGCUCCCACUUAUGAGUGAGAACACACAGUGUUUGGUUUUCUGUUCCUGUGUUAGUUGGCUGAGAAUUAUGGCUUGCAGCUUCAUCCAUGUCCCUGUAAAGGACAUGAACCCAUUAUUUUUUGUGGCUGCAUAGUAUUCCAUGGUAUAUGCCAUGUGCCAUGUUUGCUUUAUCAUUGAUGGGCAUUUGGGUUGGUUCCAAGUCUUUUCUAUUGUAAUUAGUGCUGCAAUAAGCAUACGUGUGCAUGUGUCUUUAUAGUAGAAUGAUUUAUAAUCCUUUGGGUAUAUACCCAGUAAUGGGAUUGCUGGGUCAAAUGGUAUUUCUGGUUCUAGAUGCUUGAGGAAUCAUCACACUGUCUUCCACAAUGGUUGAACUAAUUUACACUCCCACAAACAGUGUAAAAGCGUUCCUAUUUCUCCACAGCAUCACCAGCAUCUGUUGUUUCCUGACUUCUUAAUAAUUGCCAUUCUAACUGGUGUGAGAUGGUAUCUCAUCAUGGUUUUGAUUUGCAUUUUUCUAAUGACCAGUGAUGAUGAGUUUUUUUCAUAUGUUUGUUGGCCAAAUAAAUGUCUUCUUUUGAGAAGUAUCUGUUCAUAUCCUUUGCCCAUUUAUUGAUGGGGUUGCUUGAUUUUUUUCUUGUAAAUUUGUUUUCAGUUCCUUGUAAAUUCUAGAUAUUAGACCUUUGUCAGAUGGGUAGACUGCAAAAAUUUUCUCCCAUUCUAUAGGUUGCUUGUUCACUAUGGUGAUAAUUUCUUUUGCUGAACAGAAGCUCUUUAGUUAAUUAGAUCCCAUUUGUCAAUUUUGGCUUUUGUUGCCAUUGCUUUUGAUGCUUUAGUCAUGAAGUCUCUGCCCAUGCCUGUGUCCUGAAUGGUAUUGCCUGGGUUUUCUUCUAGGGUUUUUAUGGUUUGGGGUUUUACAUUCAAGGCUUUAAUCCAUCUUGAGUUAAUUUUUGUAUAAGGUAUAAGGAAGGGGUUCAGUUUCUGUUUACUGCAUAUGGCUAGCCAGUUUUCCUAGCACCAUUUAUUAAAUAGAAAGUCCUUUCCCCAUUGCUUGUUUUUGUCAGGUUUGUCAAAGGUCAGAUGGUUGUAGAUGUGUGGUGUUAUUUCUGAGGUCUCUGUUUCAUUGGUCUAUAUAUCUGUUUUGGUACCAGUACCAUGCUGUUUUGGUUACUGUAGCCUUGUAGUAUAGUUUGAAGUCAGGUAGUAUGAUGCCUCCAGCUUUGUUCUUUUUGCUUAGGAUUGUCUUGGCUAUAUGGGCUCUUUUUUGGUUCCAGAUGAAAUUUAAAGUAGUUUUUUUCUAAUGCUGCAAAAAAAGUCAAUGUUAGCUUGAUGGGAGUAGCAUUGAAUCUAUACAUUACUUUGCUCUGCCCCUGUUUAUACAUACAUGACUGAUAUGGUUUGGCUGUGUCCCUGCCCAAAUCUCAUCUUGAAUUCCCACAUGUUGUGGGAGGAACCUGGGGGGAGGCAACUGAUCAUGGGGCAAGUCUUUGCCAUGCUGUUCUUGUGAUAGUGAAUAAGUCUCAUGAGAUCUGACGGUUUUAAAAAGAGGAGUUCCCCUGCACAAAUUCUCUCUCUUUGCCUGCUGCCAUCCAUGUAAGGCAUGACUUACUCCUCCUUGCCUUCUGCCAUGAUUGUGGGGCUUCCUCAGCCAUGUGAAACUGUAAGUCCAAUUAAACAUCUUUCUUUUGUAAAUUGCCCCGUCUCAGGUAUGUCUUUAUCAGCAGUGUGAAAAUGGACUAAUACAAUGAUACAAGAGUAGUUAGAACAGUAUUUAUAAAUGUGCCAAUGUUAAUCAACAUAGGAGUUAACGAUUCCCUGUUUUUCUGUGAUUUCUCAUGCACCAAAAAUAUAUUAAGAUAAAAUAUACAAUUUUCAUUCACUAUUAAGUGACUAACCUCAUAUUGCUUUCAAAGGCAUUUAUUGGCACCUACUAUGUGUGAAUACACUCAGCUUGCUUAUGUGAAAGCUGAAUAACAAAGUGGUUAUGUAACUUAAUGAAGGUCCCACAACUAGGAAGUGGUAGAGUAACUUUCUAAACCACUUUCCUCCCAGUUUAGUUUCACAUUCAUGUGUUCAGUCAACAAGCACUUAUGGAAUCCUGAUGCUGGGCCCUACUUUAUGGUAGACACUGAAGAUACAGACUUUGUCCCUGCCCUCAUGGAGUUCACAGUUCAGGAGGGAAACCAGAUUUAAUCAAAUAACCACACAAAAAUUUGCUCGUAAAAUGAAACCAAUGCUAUAAGGAAAAUGAACAGGGUGAUUUGAGAGCAUAUAAUAGGAUUUUAUCAUAUCUGAUGAUUCAGAGUAAUGUUCUCCUAUAGAAGAGAUGUGGGAACUGACAUCUGAAGUGUCAGUGUUAGUUAGCCAGGUGUGGUAUAUAAAAGAUGACCAGCUUAUCCACCAAGAGGUAGAAUUGCUUUCCCCAUGCAUUAAAUCUGGACUGGCCUUUGACUUGCAGUGUCCAACAGAUAAAGUGGAAGUUUCUGCUCUUGCUCCCUUGGAAUAUUGUUCUGAGACUGCCAGCUGAAGAAGUCUAGUCUAGUCUAGUUUAUUAGUGGAUGAGAGGCUGGUAGAAAAGCGAAAAACUGUUGCAGCUGAGUCCCCUGAGUCCAACCAGUUGACAGCCUGCAGCGACUGUGUGAGGCCAUCUUAGAUUAUUCAGCCCCACUACAGAUGCCAAAUAUCUGCAGCUGUAAAAGUGAUUCCAGGCAAUAACAGAAGAACCAUCCUGCUGAUCCUAGCCCAAAUUGCUGGCCAUAGAACCAUGAGCUAAUAAGACAGCUGUGGUUAUAAUAUAUUGAGUUUGGGGUUGGCAUGUUACAUGGCAGUCAGUUAUUGAUACCCUGAGAGAAGUAUGGAAGCUGGGACUGAAUUCUAGGAAGAGGGAAAGAUAUAGGCAAAGGUCCUGAGGAGGGAAGAAUAAACUUUUAGAGAACUGAAAGAAAGAUGAUGAGAUAGAAGACUUCAGAGGGCUAGGCAAGGCCCAAGUCUAAAAGCAGUGUCUUAGAAUCUGUCAAAAAUCUCAUCUUUUUAUUGUUGUUUGGAACAAAGUCUUUCUUUAUUGCCUAGGCUGCAGUCAUGCAGUGGCACAAUUAAAGCUCACUUCAGCCUCGACCUCCUGAGCUCAAGCAAUCAGCCUCCUGACUAGCUGGGACUACAGGUGUGGAUGACUAUACCCAGCUAUUUUUUUUUUUUUAUUUUUUGUAGAAACAGGGUCUUACCAUGUUGCUCAGGCUGGUCUCAGACUUCUGGGCUCAAGCAAUCCUCCUGCCUCAGCCUCCCAAAGUGUUUGGAUUAUAGGCAUGAGCUAGCAUGCUCGGCUGUGAGUUCAAUUUUUUUCUUUAAAAGCAAGAGAAAGUCACUGUAGAGAUUUUGAGCUCAGAAGUGUCAUGAAUAGACUUGCACAUGUGCAUAUAUUGUUUUUUUUUUUUUUCACCAGGCGCAAACUUAUGGUGGAAGGGACCUACAUUAAGCACACAUAAGUAGAAGCUGGCCAGGCACGGUGGCUCAUGCCUGUAAUCCCAGCACUUUGGGAGGCCGAGACUGGUGGAUCACGAGGUCAGGAGAUCGAGACCAUCCUGGCUAACAUGGUGAAACCCCGUCUCUAUCAAAAAUACAAAAAAAAAUUAGCCAGGUAUGGUGGGGGGCGCCUAUACUCCCAGCUACUCGGGAGGCUAAGGCAGAAGAACGGC